rnacentral:rRNA from 1 species
GGAUUGCCUUAGUAACGGCGAGUGAAGCGGCAAUAGCUCAGAUUUGAAAUCUGGUCCUUUUAGGAUCCGAGUUGUAAUCUGUAGAGGAUGCUUCGGUGUUAGCUCCGGCCUAAGUUCCUUGGAACAGGACGUCAUAGAGGGUGAGAAUCCCGUAUGUGGUCGGUCGUUUUCACCAUGUGAAGCUCCUUCGACGAGUCGAGUUGUUUGGGAAUGCAGCUCUAAAUGGGAGGUAAAUUUCUUCUAAAGCUAAAUAUUGGCCAGAGACCGAUAGCGCACAAGUAGAGUGAUCGAAAGAUGAAAAGCACUUUGGAAAGAGAGUUAAAAAGCACGUGAAAUUGUUGAAAGGGAAGCGCUUGCAACCAGACUUGAUUAUGAUGGCUUAUCCGAGACUUUGGCUCGGUGCACUCCUUCAUGGUCAGGCCAGCAUCAGUUCGGGCGGCUGGUUAAAGGUUCCGGGAAUGUGGCUCUCUUCGGGGAGUGUUAUAGCCCGGUUCACAAUACAGUCAGCCUGGACUGAGGUCCGCGCUUCGGCUAGGAUGCUGGCGUAAUGGUUGUAAGCGGCCC